GCACUGCUGAUGAGACCAAACCAGGUCGAAGUAGCUGUCCAGUGC
rfam:Echinostoma caproni strain Egypt genome assembly, scaffold: ECPE_scaffold0004435